CCUACGGGCGGCAGCAGUGGGGAAUAUUGCACAAUGGGGGAAACCCUGAUGCAGCGACGCCGCGUGAGUGAAAAAGGAAUUCGGUAUGUAAAGCUCUAUCAGCAGGGAAGAAAAUGACGGUACGUGAGUAAGAAGCCCCGGCUAACGACGUGCCAGCAGCCGCGGUAAUACGGAGGGGGAAAGCGUUAUGCGGAUUUACUGGGGGAAAAGGGAGCGUAGACGGCCGUGCAAGUCUGGAGUGAAAGGCGGGGGCUCAACCCCCGGACUGCUCUGGAGACUGUUCGGCUGGAGUGCAGGAGAGGUAAGUGGAAUUCCUUGUGUAGCGGUGAAAUGCGUAGAUAUUAGGCGGAACACCCGUGGCGAAGGCGGCUUACUGGACUGUAACUGACGUUGAGGCUCGAAAGCGUGGGGAGCAAACAGGAUUAGAUACCCGUGUAGUC
rnacentral:rRNA from 1 species